UGAAAACGCUCACAUUUUGCUCUCUUUAGGAAAAGACAACAUUGAUUUUAGAGGUUUUUGUUAUGGAGGCCAGGGGGAUUUUUCCAGUGCAGCACAGAGAAAUCUGGGUUUGGAUUGGGAAGCCAGACAUUUCUUGGCUUACAUUUCCUACUUGAAUGGGAUUCGUUUGCCCCCUCCUCACCUCUCCCCAACCCCCAGGCAGCUAGAAGCCCCACCUCCUUGCUUGGACCAUAUGGGGAAGCUGGCUCGGUGGCUGUUAUUCUACUGACUCCAAGUUCACGCAGCUGUUCAUCCCCUGCUUAAUGUACUGGCCUGCCCUGUGGCUGCCCAUUGACCAAUCAGCAUGCACUUCUCCAUUCAGAGCAGACGAAAAGCCCAGACUCAAUCAGUCUCACACACUCAUCAGGACUACUUGGCUAUGGAAAGGAGAUAGCCACUAUGGGUCUCCUCUCCAUUAAGAGUUGGACACUUGUCCAGAUGACCUGCCUACAGAAAGAAGCUACCCACUAUGGGUCUCCUCUCCUCUGAAAGCUGGACACUCAUUGGAACAACCUGCCUGCAGAAAGAAGCUGCCCACUUCAGGGCUCCUGAGAGCUGUUCUGUCGCUCAAUAAAUCUCCUCUCCACCUUGUUCACCCUCCAGUUGUCUGCAUACGUCAUUCUUCCUGGAAAUGGGACAAGAACUUAGGACACACCAAAUGGCAAGACUGAAAGAGCUGUAACACAAACAGGGCUGAAACAUGCUCCUUCACUCACUAAGUGGUGGGCAAUAAGUAGGAGAGAAGAGCUGUGUCACUUUGGGGAGCCCAAAGUUAAGGGCUCCCCAAGCCAGGGCUGUGCCACCCUCUUUUGGGGUCUAUGGUUUCCAGUGUCUCUAAGCUUCUGGGCACCACUGUAUUCCCUAGUGCCUGAAGCAGUACAGCUUGUGGUACACCUGGUCUAGCCACAGCCUCACGUGGAACCACUGCCUGUGCUGGAACCUGGAGAUGACUGCCCUAUUGCAGCCAGCAUGCUGGGCUGUGCACAGUUGCUGUACCCUGUGCUCACUUGCUCACACACCCCUCACCACUCUGCUCCUGGCUUAUCCUUGGCAGGUAUGGGAUCCAGGCCAGUAGUAUGAGCCAGUUGCAGCCUGCUGGCUCAAAUGGGUGGAAUGAGCCCAGCAGGCGCAAGCAAAACACAAGCAGAGUUGCCGCCAGCCACAGAGGUUUCUGACUGGCAAAGUGACACCCCAAGGAACCCAUGACAGUUAAGCAAUAAAACUAAAAAUAUAUCACUUUUUUGCAAUACCUGAGGAUAGAAGAAUGUAUACUGUAAAUUCUUAUUUUGUGUAUGUAUAAGCUGCAUGCUUCAUAUACUAUCUUUUAGGAGAUAUAUUAGAAUAUCUUACAUUAAGUAUAAAUUAUUAUUAAUGUAGUUUUAGAAUGGCAUAUUUGUGAUUAAAUCAUAAGAUUUUAUGCAUCAGGUUUGAAUAUUUCUUAACUGACUUUUGUGUUUCAUUAUAGAUGUGUUAAGUUAUUGCUGAGAAUUUCCCUUUUGAAUGCUAUGCUGAUAGGAUGUUUCAGUGUUGUGAAUUCUGUAUUCUAGUGCUGAUGCCUCCAUCCCCAAAACCUGCCAUUUCACUUUAAAUACUGUAAAACAGGUUACCUACUCUCGUACGUAACUCAGAAGCACCUAAUAGUAUGGCUGAUAUUCUGUUGAAAUAAACAACAUAACAACUUGUAUCGUUUGGAAAUUCAGAUACUGAUAUUCUUUGCCCUUUAGCACUUCUGUCUCAUCCACUCAAUUUCUCUUCAACAUUCUCCCUCAACUUUUCAAAUUAUAAAUCACAACAAAUCAAUGAAAACAGCAUUGCUUAUAUAGCAGCAGUCCUUUAGGCAUAAUCAGCAUUCAGUUACCAAUUCAUAUAAAAUGACAGGCCCAGGGAGGAACUGAGACCUACCACAACACCAUGAUAAAGGCAGAAGCCAUCUGAGAGAUAUGAAAACGGCCAGAGGGUGUGAAAUUAAUGGAGAGGAAACAAAACACAUAUUGAAAUCAGAUAAGGGCUUGUUUGAAAUACUAUUUUGUAAACCAUGUUCUAACAGCCACCAUGGGGUCCUUUGUAACUCUUCACACUUAACUCCAACUGCCACUGCUCUCUGUUGACUAAACUCCCAUCCACACUGACUGCUUUCAGUUUCUCAAAAGAGGCAAGCUCUUCCUGCCCUGGGACCUUCACUUAAACUGUUCUUCAUACGUGUGAUUCUCUCCUUAACAUCUUUACAUGAUGUCUUUUU
rnacentral:lncRNA from 1 species